rnacentral:tRNA from 1 species
GGUGCUGUAGUGUAGUCCGGCCAAUCAUCUGGGCCUUUCGAGCCUAUGACCCGGGUUCGAAUCCCGGCAGCACCA